AUCUACGGCCAUACCACCCUGAACACACCGGAUCUCGUCUGAUCUCGGAAGCUAAGCAGGGUUGGGCCUGGUUAGUACUUGGAUGGGAGACCGCCUGGGAAUACCAGGUGCUGUAGGCU
rnacentral:rRNA from 1 species